AUUGAACGCUGGCGGCAUGCUUUACACAUGCAAGUCGAACGGUAACAGGUUAAGCUGACGAGUGGCGAACGGGUGAGUAAUGCAUCGGAACGUGCCCGAUCGUGGGGGAUAACGCAGCGAAAGCUGCGCUAAUACCGCAUACGAUCUGAGGAUGAAAGCGGGGGACCGUAAGGCCUCGCGCGAUCGGAGCGGCCGAUGUCAGAUUAGGUAGUUGGUGGGGUAAAGGCUCACCAAGCCAACGAUCUGUAGCUGGUCUGAGAGGACGACCAGCCACACUGGGACUGAGACACGGCCCAGACUCCUACGGGAGGCAGCAGUGGGGAAUUUUGGACAAUGGGCGAAAGCCUGAUCCAGCAAUGCCGCGUGCAGGAAGAAGGCCUUCGGGUUGUAAACUGCUUUUGUACGGAGCGAAAAGGUUCUCUCUAAUACAGAGGGCUCAUGACGGUACCGUAAGAAUAAGCACCGGCUAACUACGUGCCAGCAGCCGCGGUAA
rnacentral:rRNA from 1 species